UUAAGAUCAGUUCUGUCAGAAAGCUGCUUGUAUUAACAGGGAACUUGAACUCGAAGCUCAGUGCUGAACUUGAAGAAGUUGUCAGGGAAGCUGAAGUCCUUCAAAGGUUCAACACUUCACAGUUGGAAAGGAAGGCCUGUCAAACUCUUGUCAAACCCGUCUUGUUUGUGGAGAGGGAUGAAUUUGACCAUCUUGUGUGUUUACAGAGAAGACCAAAAGCUGCAAAGGCAAACAUUUCCAAUGUCACAAACACAACGGAUGGUUGCAUGAUGGGCUUUUUCAGUUUUGUCAACUGAACGUCUACUAGUGAGGCUCAGCAAGUUCUUGUCAUGAUCAGCCCUCUCCAAGAAAGCUGAAGAGCAAAAAUACAAAGAACAUCAGUCCUGUUGGGGAUGAGGAAUGAACAUGGCCCUAUUGUCCCCAAACAGAAAAGACUGAAAAGGUGCUCAUUCCCAUUGGUAUGU